rnacentral:misc_RNA from 1 species
UUCCUUUCUCAGAAUCAAGUUUACGGACAAGAGCUUGAGCUUGUUCAAUGUCAAUCUGGAUUCGUCUUGGUUCAGAACUAACAGGGUGGGCCUUAGGAGCAGCAGAAAGAAGAUCCAUUUCUUUUGCCGGUCCUCUACCAUGACGCCUACGUUUGCCAUCAUUGUCUGCUUCAUCAUCUGAAUUUGGUUCACUAACCUGCCCUGAUUUAUUUGUAGCUGCUGCAUUGAUCCCUGGACCUAAUUCCAGUGUUCCACUUUGCAGGUCAAGCAAAAAAUCCUUAGCAGUUCUUUGUGCAAGUUCG